rnacentral:rRNA from 1 species
UGGGGGAUAUUGCACAAUGGGCGAAAGCCUGAUGCAGCGACGCCGCGUGGGGGAUGAAGGCCGUCGGGUUGUAAACUUCUUUUGCUCUGAACAAGGCAUGCUAAUGGGUGUGUUGAGUGUAGGGGUUGAUUAGCGCCGGCUAACUACGUGCCAGCAGCCGCGGUAAUACGUAGGGCGCGAGCGUUGUCCGGAAUUAUUGGGCGUAAAGGGCUUGUAGGUGGCUGGUUGCGUCUGUCGUGAAAGCUCAUGGCUUAACUGUGGGUUUGCGGUGGGUACGGGCUGGCUUGAGUGCAGUAGGGGAGGCUGGAAUUCCUGGUGUAGCGGUGGAAUGCGCAGAUAUCAGGAGGAAUACCGGUGGCGAAGGCGGGUCUCUGGGCUGUUACUGACACUGAGGAGCGAAAGCAUGGGGAGCGAACAGG